CUUGGUGAAGUAGCAGGAGCUC
rnacentral:siRNA from 1 species